rnacentral:rRNA from 1 species
AGUGAACGCUGGCGGUAGGCCUAACACAUGCAAGUCGAACGGCAGCACAGUAAGAGCUUGCUCUUACGGGUGGCGAGUGGCGGACGGGUGAGGAAUACAUCGGAAUCUACUUUUUCGUGGGGGAUAACGUAGGGAAACUUACGCUAAUACCGCAUACGACCUACGGGUGAAAGCAGGGGAUCUUCGGACCUUGCGCGAUUGAAUGCGCCGAUGUCGGAUUAGCUAGUUGGCGGGGUAAAGGCCCACCAAGUCGACGAUCCGUAGCUGGUCUGAGAGGAUGAUCAGCCACAACGGAACUGAGAAACGGUCCAGACUCCUACGGGAGGCAGCAGUGGGGAAUAUUGGGCAAUGGGCGCAAGCCUGAUCCAGCCAUACCGCGUGGGUGAAGAAGGCCUUCGGGUUGUAAAGCCCUUUUGUUGGGAAAGAAAAGCAGCAGGUUAAUACCCCGCUGUUCUGACGGUACCCAAAGAAUAAGCACCGGCUAACUUCG